AGUCUUAUAUUCAAAUUUAGAUGAUAUAAAAUUGCAAAUUUUAAGGUGUAUUAUUACUAAGGCUU
rnacentral:tRNA from 1 species